CUUUGAAAUAAAUGUAACAAAACUCAACAGAAAAAUGGAAUCUUGACAGGAUCUGAGAUUUUCUGGCAAAGAAACAAGCACUUGUAGAUGAUUUUUUUAGGACCCCUUUGAAAGGUAGAACACGUGUAAAUAACAUCAGAGCAUAAACAAUUUUCUCAUUAAUAUGGUAAUAGACACAAAGAUGACAGGUUAAUUAGGUCAAUCCGAGUAGAG